GAAUGAGAAGAAAGGAGGAAAGAAGAGUGUUGGACCAGUUGAGAAACUAGGAUGAGGGAAGCGGCAAUGACUGAGUGAAAGACCAGACACAGAACUUGGUAACCAAGGCAGAAGGCAGAAAAGGGAGGGGAAAAGUUCCAAAUUUAUGUGACCAAAGAACCCUUCGUGCCAAGCAUUUUGAAGGACACACAUGGUGAGCAAUGGCCAGGUGAUCCAAGAAGCUCUCCCAGAGCAAUGAUGUUGGAGCUGAGAUUUCCAGCCCUGCCUGAGAGUUUUCCAAGCAAAGAGCCCAAGAAGCAGGACAACGGUCCACCAGGCCAGACCUG